GACGUAGGGUGCGAGCGUUGUCCGGAUUUAUUGGGCGUAAAGAGCUCGUAGGCGGCUCGUCGCGUCGACCGUGAAAACCCGCGGCUUAACUGCGGGCUUGCGGUUGAUACGGGCGGGCUAGAGUUCGGUAGGGGAGACUGGAAUUCCUGGUGUAGCGGUGAAAUGCGCAGAUAUCAGGAGGAACACCGGUGGCGAAAGCGAUCCGCUGGCCCUCUACUGACGCUGAGGCGCGAAAGCCAGGGGAGCAAACGGG
rnacentral:rRNA from 1 species